ACAGGCACCUAUCGAAGCCGUUCAUGUCCUACUGUGGCAGUGAACGGUCAACAGGAUGCCGAAAUGAAGACUUUCACCGACGGUCGCUGCUCAGUUUGAUAGUAACUGUUUCAGCAACAUUAAGGGAAAGAACACUU
ensembl:snoRNA small nucleolar RNA SNORA16B/SNORA16A family